AUCACUUCCUGGUCUUUUGGCUAAGAUCAAGUGUAGUAUCUGUUCUUAUCUGUUUAAUAUCUGAUACGUCUUCUAUCUGAGGACAAUCUACUCUAUUGAUUUUUGGAGCAGGGAGUUGGAAUAGGAGCUUGCUCUGUCCACUCCAUGCAUUGACCUAGUAUUGCAGUAUCUCCAGCCACAGUGCAAAAAAA
ensembl:snRNA U2 U2 spliceosomal RNA